ACCGGUAGCUUAGUUGGUAGAGCAGGGGACUCUUAAUCCCAAGGUCCUGGGUUCGAUUCCCCGCCUGUC
rnacentral:tRNA from 1 species